CCUACGGGAGGCAGCAGUGAGGAAUAUUGGUCAAUGGGCGGAAGCCUGAACCAGCCAAGUAGCGUGCAGGAUGACGGCCCUACGGGUUGUAAACUGCUUUUAUACGGGAAUAACGCGCCUUACGUGUAGGGCUUUGCAUGUACCGUAUGAAUAAGGACCGGCUAAUUCCGUGCCAGCAGCCGCGGUAAUACGGGGGGUGCAAGCGUUAUCCGGAUUUUUUGGGUUUAAAGGGUGCGUAGGUGGUGAGGUUAGUCAUCGGGGAAAUGCCCCCGCUCAACGGGGUGAAGUGCCAUUGAUACUGGCUUGCUGGAAGGCGGAUGCCGUGUGAGGAAUGUGUGGUGUAGCGGUGAAAUGCAUAGAUAUCACACAGAACACCGAUUGCGAAGGCAGCUCACGAAUCCGCGAUUGACGCUGAUGCACGAAAGCGUGGGGAUCAAACAGGAUUAGAUACCCGGGUAGUC
rnacentral:rRNA from 1 species